rnacentral:rRNA from 13 species
GUCGAUCCUAAGAGAUGGGGAAGCCUUGUAUCAAGGGUGCACUCUGCACGAGCAUCGAAAGGGAAUCGGGUUAAUAUUCCCGAACCGGGACAUGGCGGCGGGCGGCAACGUUAGGAAAUCCGGAGACGUCGUCGGGGGCCCCGGGAAGAGUUAUCUUUUCUUUUUAACAGCUUGCCCACCCUGGAAUCGGUUCACCCGGAGAUAGGGUCCAGCAGCUGGAAGAGCACCGCACGUCUUGCGGUGUCCGGUGCGCCCUCGGCGGCCCUUGAAAAUCUGGAGGACCGAGUACCGUUCAUGCCCGGUCGUACUCAUAACCGCAUCAGGUCUCCAAGGUGAACAGCCUCUGGUCAAUAGAACAAUGUAGGUAAGGGAAGUCGGCAAAACGGAUCCGUAACUUCGGGAAAAGGAUUGGCUCUGAGGAUUGGGCUUGGGAGUCCUUUGGAAGACCUUGUUGUGGCUGGGUGAGACUGCGGCUCACGCUGCGGACUUGCCCGGUAGCUCUGGCGAUUCCUUAGGAAUGUACUUGUACGUUUCCCAAUGCGUUGAACAAUCGCCUCAGAACUGGAACGGACAAGGGGAAUCCGACUGUUUAAUUAAAACA